UGUCUUCGGAUUGUAAAACUCUGUUGUUAGGGAAGAAUAAGUACUAGAGUAACUGCUAGUACCUUGACGGUACCUAACCAGAAAGCCCCGGCUAACUACGUGCCAGCAGCCGCGGUAAUACGUAGGGGGCAAGCGUUGUCCGGAAUUAUUGGGCGUAAAGCGCGCGCAGGCGGUCCUUUAAGUCUGAUGUGAAAGCCCACGGCUUAACCGUGGAGGGUCAUUGGAAACUGGAGGACUUGAGUACAGAAGAGGAGAGUGGAAUUCCACGUGGAGCGGUGAAAUGCGUAGAGAUGUGGAGGAACACCAGUGGCGAAGGCGACUCUCUGGUCUGUAACUGACGCUGAGGCGCGAAAGCGUGGGUAGCGAACAGGAUUAGAUACCCUGGUAGUCCACGCCGUAAACGAUGAGUGCUAGGUGUCAGGGGGUUUCCGCCCCUUGGUGCUGCAGUUAACGCAUUAAGCACUCCGCCUGGGGAGUACGGCCGCAAGGCUGAAACUCAAAAGAAUUGACGGGGGCCCGCACAAGCGGUGGAGCAUGUGGUUUAAUUCGAAGCAACGCGAAGAACCUUACCAGGUCUUGACAUCCUCUGACCACCCUAGAGAUAGGGCUUUCCCUUCGGGGACACAGUGACAGGUGGUGCAUGGUUGUCGUCAGCUCGUGUCCUG
rnacentral:rRNA from 1 species